rnacentral:rRNA from 1 species
UGAGUUUGAUCCUGGCUCAGAGUGAACGCUAGUAACAGGCUUUAUACAUGCGAGUCGAAUGGUAUUUUUUAUCAUGGCGGACGGGUGAGUAAUGCACAAGAAGUUGCCCUUAGAUAAGGAGAGAAUUCCUUUUAAAAGAGUUAUCUCGUCUUUGGAUUUGCUUGUGUAAGAUUAGGUAGUUGGUAGUGAAAGACUUACCAAGCCGUCGAUCUUUAGUUGGUUUGUAAGAACGGUCAACCACACUGGGACUGAGACAAGGCCCAGGCUUUUAAUAAGCCAGCAGUAGGGAAUAUUGGACAAUGAGCGAAAGCUUGAUCCAGCUAUGUUACGUGAGGGAUGACAGCUUAUUUGUUGUAAACCUCUUUUAUAAGGAAAGAUGAUGACUUGCCUUAUGAAUAAGUUCUGGCUAAUUUCGUGCCAGCAGCCGCGGUAACACGAAAAGAACAAGCGUUACUCGUUGUAAUUUGGUGUAAAGGGUUCGUAGGCGGUUUUAAGGUUGUUUAAGGUAAAAUUCAAGAGCUCCAACUUUUGAGCAAGGCUUUAAAAACACUAUUACUUGAGUUUAGCGUAAGAUUAUAGAAUUUCAAAUGUAGAGAUAAAAUUUUAAGAGAUUUGAAGGAAUGUCAAAAGCGAAGGCAAUAAUCUAUUCUAAUACUGACGCUGAGGGACGAAAGAACGGGUAGCAAACGGGAUUAGUGACCCCGGUAGUCCGUUCCGUAAACGCUGAGUGCUCGUACUUAGAUUUUAUAAUUUAGGUGCUACGCUAACGCUAUAAGCACUCCACCUGAGGAGUAUAGCCGCAAGGCUGGAACUCAAAGGAAUUGACGGGGGCCUAAACAAGUGGUGGAGCAUGUGGUUUAAUGCGAUAAUACGCGCGAAACCUUACCAAUCCUUGAUGUUUGAAAAAGAACUUUUUACUUUUUGGUCAAAUAUUCUCUUUUUUUUAACAGGUGUUGCAUGGCUGUCGUCAGCUCGUGUUGUGAAAUGUUUGGUUAAGUCCUUUAACGAGCGCAACCCCUUUCUUCUUUUGCUCUUUUUUCUUAGAAAGUACUUUGAAGAUACUAACUGCUAUAAGCAGUUGGAAGAGGGAUGAAGUCAAGUCCUUAUGGCCCUUAUGGAUUGGGCUACACACGUGCUACAAUGGUAAAGACAGCAAGAGGCAAUAAAGUAAUUUGGAGCAAAUCUUUUAAACUUUAUCUUAGUUCGGAUUAACGACUGCAAUUCGUCGUUAUGAAGUUGGAAUCACUAGUAAUCGCAAAUCAGUAUGUUGCGGUGAAUACGUACCUAGGCCUUGUACACACCGCCCGUCACAUGCUGGGAAUUUUCUUUAUCUGAAGUGUUUUGCGGUUUAUCAAGAGGAUGAAUUUUUAUUUAUUUCUUUUCUUAAUCUACAUUGCCCCAAGGCGAGGAAAGUAACUAGGAUGAAGUCGUAACAAGGUAACCGUACGGGAACGUGUGGUUG